GCUGAAGUUAUGCAUCAUCGCCGUAUCCGAAGAACAGAAGAUCAGAUAACUGGAAAUCGCCGAGGUAGACACAUCGCCGGGUUCUCCAGAAAGCUUAUUUGAAGCUGUUGGAGUUUUAAGUGAGUAAGUCCAGAUGUGUUGGUUCGAUAAAGAUGUUUGUUAAACCUAAACAUGAGCGAUGAGAUGUGUUUUUCUCACUUUAUGGUUGUUCUGCUCCAACCAUAAAGGAGAGUUUCUUUUGUGGAUG
rnacentral:lncRNA from 1 species